UACGGGGGGGGCAAGCGUUGUUCGGAAUUACUGGGCGUAAAGGGCUCGUAGGCGGCCAACUAAGUCGGACGUGAAAUCCCCAGGCUCAACCUGGGAACUGCAUCCGAUACUGGAUGGCUUGAAUUCGGGAGAGGGAUGCAGAAUUCCAGGUGUAGCGGUGAAAUGCGUAGAUAUCUGGAGGAAUACCGGUGGCGAAGGCGGGUCUCUGGGCAGUAACUGACGCUGAGGAGCGAAAGCGUGGGGAGCGAACAGG
rnacentral:rRNA from 1 species